rnacentral:rRNA from 1 species
GAUGAACGCUGGCGGCGUGCCUAAUACAUGCAAGUCGAGCGAACGGACGAGAAGCUUGCUUUUCUGAUUUUAGCGGCGGACGGGUGAGUAACACGUGGAUAACCUACCUAUAAGACUGGGAUAACUUCGGGAAACCGGAGCUAAUACCGGAUAAUAUUUUGCACCGCAUGGUUCAAAAGUGAAAGACGGUCUUGCUGUCACUUAUAGAUUGAUCCGCGCUGAAUUAAGUAGUUGGUAAGGUAACGGCUUAGCAAGGCAACGAUGCAUAGCCGACCUGAGAGCGUGAUCGGCCACACUGGAACUGAGACACGGUCCAGACACUUACGGGAGGCAGCAGUAGGGAAUCUUCCGCGAUGCGCGAGAGCCUGACGGAGCAACGCCGCGUGAGUGAUGAAGGUCUUCGGAUCCUAAAACUCUGUUAUUAGGGGAGAACAAAUGUGUAAGUAACUGUGCACAUAAUGACGGUACCUAGUCAGAAAGCCACGGCUAACUACGUG